rnacentral:rRNA from 1 species
AUUGAACGCUGGCGGCAGGCUUAACACAUGCAAGUCGAGCGAGUGGCGGACGGGUGAGUAAUGUCUGGGAAACUGCCUGAUGGAGGGGGAUAACUACUGGAAACGGUAGCUAAUACCGCAUACCAUCAGAUGUGCCCAGAUGGGAUUAGCUAGUAGGUGGGGUAAUGGCUCACCUAGGCGACGAUCCCUAGCUGGUCUGAGAGGAUGACCAGCCACACUGGAACUGAGACACGGUCCAGACUCCUACGGGAGGCAGCAGUGGGGAAUAUUGCACAAGGGGCGCAAGCCUGAUGCAGCCAUGCCGCGGGUGUGAAGAAGGCCUUCGGGUUGUAAAGCACGUUCAGCGAGGAGGCGUUACUCGAAGAAGAAGCAACGGCUAACUCCGUGCCAGCAGCCGCGGUAAUUC